ACCUGGCUGGCUCAGUUGGUAGAGCAUGAGACUCUUGAUCUCGAAGUUAUGAGUUUAAGUCCCAUGUUGGGCA
rnacentral:tRNA from 1 species